rnacentral:rRNA from 2 species
GACAUCAGGAGGUUAGUGCAAUGGCAUAAGCCAGCUUGACUGCGAGCGUGACGGCGCGAGCAGGUGCGAAAGCAGGUCAUAGUGAUCCGGUGGUUCUGAAUGGAAGGGCCAUCGCUCAACGGAUAAAAGGUACUCCGGGGAUAACAGGCUGAUACCGCCCAAGAGUUCAUAUCGACGGCGGUGUUUGGCACCUCGAUGUCGGCUCAUCACAUCCUGGGGCUGAAGUAGGUCCCAAGGGUAUGGCUGUUCGCCAUUUAAAGUGGUACGCGAGCUGGGUUUAGAACGUCGUGAGACAGUUCGGUCCCUAUCUGCCGUGGGCGCUGGAGAACUGAGGGGGGCUGCUCCUAGUACGAGAGGACCGGAGUGGACGCAUCACUGGUGUUCGGGUUGUCAUGCCAAUGGCACUGCCCGGUAGCUAAAUGCGGAAGAGAUAAGUGCUGAAAGCAUCUAAGCACGAAACUUGCCCCGAGAUGAGUUCUCCCUGAGACUUUAGGUCU